GGUUAAGCGACUAAGCGUACACGGUGGAUGCCCUGGCAGUCAGAGGCGAUGAAGGACGUGCUAAUCUGCGAAAAGCGUCGGUAAGGUGAUAUGAACCGUUACAGCCGGCGAUGUCCGAAUGGGGAAACCCAGUGCAAUUCGUUGCACUAUCGUUAACUGAAUACAUAGGUUAACGAGGCGAACCGGGGGAACUGAAACAUCUAAGUACCCCGAGGAAAAAAAAUCAACCGAGAUUCCCCCAGUAGCGGCGAGCGAACGGGGAGCAGCCCAGAGUCUGAAUCAGCUUGUGUGUUAGUGGAACGGUCUGGAAAGUCCGACGGUACAGGGUGAUAGUCCCGUACACCAAAAUGCACAGGUUGUGAACUCGAAGAGUAGGGCGGGACACGUGGUAUCCUGUCUGAAUAUGGGGGGACCAUCCUCCAAGGCUAAAUACUCCUGACUGACCGAUAGUGAACCAGUACCGUGAGGGAAAGGCGAAAAGAACCCCGGCGAGGGGAGUGAAAAAGAACCUGAAACCGUGUACGUACAAGCAGUGGGAGCACCUUCGGGUGUGACUGCGUACCUUUUGUAUAAUGGGUCAGCGACUUAUAUUCUGUAGCAAGGUUAACCGUAUAGGGGAGCCGCAGGGAAACCGAGUCUUAACUGGGCGUUAAGUUGCAGGGUAUAGACCCGAAACCCGGUGAUCUAGCCAUGGGCAGGUUGAAGGUUGGGUAACACUAACUGGAGGACCGAACCGACUAAUGUUGAAAAAUUAGCGGAUGACUUGUGGCUGGGGGUGAAAGGCCAAUCAAACCGGGAGAUAGCUGGUUCUCCCCGAAAGCUAUUUAGGUAGC
rnacentral:rRNA from 1 species